UACAGGGGGUGCAAACGUUGCUCGGAAUUAUUGGGCGUAAAGCGCGCGUAGGCGGCUACUUAAGUCGGAUGUGAAAGCCCCUGGCUCAACUGGGGAAGUGCACCCGACACUGAGUGGCUUGAGUACAAAAGAGGGUCGCGGAAUUCCCGGUGUAGAGGUGAAAUUCGUAGAUAUCGGGAGGAACACCGGUGGCGAAGGCGGCGACCUGGGUUGAUACUGACGCUGAGGCGCGAAAGCGUGGGGAGCAAACAGG
rnacentral:rRNA from 1 species